GCGGUCACUGUGGGACCAGCCUGUGGCCUCCAGGCGGCAGACGUGGUCUCAGGGGGGCGGUCAGUAGGAGCUGUCACAUGAUCCUCCAGUGGAGAUGCAGAUGAGCCGAGGAGGCGCAGUAUGGAGCAGUCCUCGCCCGUGCAGGUGAACACGCCCACAGGGGCUGAAGUGGAAGUGUGGAUUCAUCUCCGAGGCUCAAAGACAUCCAUCCAGGAACCACUGACAUCCUUCAUGUCACUUAGUCUUUUAAACGCAUGACGCCGGAGAUGUUCUGGACUUUCUCAGCCACCACUUAAUGCUGUGCAGAAUAAAUAAGCUGGCAACGCAGGGAAACACUGGUGAGACAGAGUGUGUUCUCUGGACCCGCGCCACUGCUUGGUUGUCAGUGUAAAUAAUCUAUGUUUCCAGAUUCCAGGUGGCCGUUGAAGCUGAAUGUAGCACAAAUAUCACAUGAUCUGACACAUUGUCUCUAACCAUACAGGUGAUGCUUCGAAUUCAAAGUACAGAGUCAAUGUCAGUAAAUGUAUGUGUCUC